GAGGCUGUAGAUCAGUGGCAGAGCACUUGCCUAGCAUGUGUGAGGCACUGAGUUCAAUCCUCAGCACCUCA
rnacentral:tRNA from 1 species